AACCGGCUGACCCUGCCCGGCGCCCAGGAGCGGCCUGGGUAUCUCCUGGCUGCUCUCCCGAAUCCUUGCGCGCCGCGCCCCUACCAGGUUCACUGGGUGCACGUAGCCGUUCUCAUAGCGGUCCUCCUGCAACAGCUGCCGCAGGAAAAUAUUUGCAGUACCUGCCACAUCCAAGGUUCAGUUGAGGCCAAUGUAAAGCCAGUAUUCUAGGACACUUCUCAGACUGAGAGCCCAAUGUCAUUGGGGACAACUGGGCCACAGGAAAUGCAGGCUCUCUCGGUCCUGCUCCUGCCAUGGAAGAAGCCCGCUCCCACCAUGCCUUCCGCCACAAGUAAAAGUUCCCUGAGGCCUCUCCAGAAGCAGACCCUGUCGUGCUUCCCGUAUAGCUGCAGAACUACUUCAAAUCCUCCCAACACCAGAGAACACUACAUGACAGUGGACAGGAAGACAGUGUACCUUUUGCUCCUGAUGAUCGUAAGAACCACCUCCUUCCUCUUAUUGUGAAGUGCAAGGUGCAAAAAGGAGGCCUGCUGCUUGUUCAGGACUAUGUCAGCAUUGUGGCUCAGAAGAA
rnacentral:antisense_RNA from 1 species